rnacentral:rRNA from 1 species
CUACGUGCCAGCAGCCGCGGUAAUACGGAAGGUCCAGGCGCUAUCCGGAUUUAUUGGGUUUAAAGGGAGUGUAGGCGGUUUGUUAAGCGUGUUGUGAAAUUUAGGUGCUCAACAUUUAACUUGCAGCGCGAACUGUCAGACUUGAGUACACGCAACGUAUGCGGAAUUCAUGGUGUAGCGGUGAAAUGCUUAGAUAUCAUGAAGAACUCCGAUUGCGAAGGCAGCAUACGGGAGUGUAACUGACGCUUAAGCUCGAAGGUGCGGGUAUCGAACAGGAUUAGAUACCCUGGUAGUCCGCACAGUAAACGAUGGAUGCCCGCUGUUAGCGCCUGGCGUUAGCGGCUAAGCGAAAGCAUUAAGCAUCCCACCUGGGGAGUACGCCGGCAACGGUGAAACUCAAAGGAAUUGACGGGGGCCCGCACAAGCGGAGGAACAUGUGGUUUAAUUCGAUGAUACGCGAGGAACCUUACCCGGGCU